rnacentral:lncRNA from 1 species
ACCUCCCAAGUGAUGGGGGAAAUCAAAGUUCCCUUCUUCAAGUUCCACCAACACUCUGCUAGCCCUCCUAACAUAAAUGUGGCCAGUUGUACCCUCUGUUCAGUUGUUAUUACUAUUACAUCAAAUAAUUUUUCUAUUAUUUUUAUCCAAUCCUCUGCUACCCUACGUUGAUUUACCCCCUGUUGUGAAAAGAAGGGUGAGUCUGA